rnacentral:lncRNA from 1 species
GGACACUCCAUAUUCUUAAAAGGAGAGAAGACCCCUUAGAAACUCAAAGAGAAGCAAAAUGUCUAGUUUUCUGCAGUUCCAAGAGCAGCAAGAAUCUCCCUUCUUGUUGAAACCCAUUACUUUCUCUUUUGUCUCCGCGUUCUUCAUCUUCUUCCUUGUAAAAUGGCUCUUCAAGGGUCCAAGUAGAAGCAAAAACCUACCACCUUCACCACCAAAGUUCCCAAUUAUAGGAAACUUUCACCAGCUGGGCCCGUUGGUACACCGCUCGCUCCAAUCCUUGGCACAAAAACAUGGGCCAAUCAUGCAGCUUCAACUAGGCAGUGUGCCAACACUAGUAAUUUCGUCUGCUGAGGCCGCUUGCGAGAUCAUGAGAACCCAUGAUAUCAUCUUUGCAAACAGGCCUCAAUUCAGAAAAUACAAGAAACUUAUGUACGAUGGGAAGGAUGUUUCUGUGGCACCUUACGGUGAGUUUUGGAGGCAGUUGAAAAGCAUUUAUCUACUCCAACUUCUGAGUAAUAGAAGAGUUCAGUCUUUUCAUAGAGUUAGAGUUGAAGGGAUUGACCACAUGAUGAACAUGAUCGAAGAGUCAUUUUCUUUGUCACUGCCAGUGAAUUUAAGCGAAAUGUUCACUUCGCUUACUAAUGAUUUGAUAAGUAGGGCUGCUUUUGGGAGGAAAUACGGCGAAGGGGAAAGUGGCAAGAAGUUUAUGCAGCUGUUGAAAGAUUAUUUACGACUAUUAGGUCGUUUUGAUAUUGGAGACGUAAUUCCAUGGAAUUUUCUUGGUUAGUCGAGUCAAUGGACUUGAUGCUGAAGUUAACAGGGUGGCCAAAGAGAUUGAUGAAUUCCUUGAGGAGAUGAUUGAAGAUCGCGUGAAUGCUUUGAAAAAAGAGAGUACUGACAGUGGUAGUGGUGAAGUUGAAUAUGGAGGCAGUGAGAACUUUCUUGAUAUCUUGCUUCGGAUACAUAAGGAUGACAGUACAGCUGUUUCAUUGAUAGAGAUAGCAUCAAAGCUGUCGUCUUGGUCGGCCUCUCUCUCUCUCUCUCUCUCUCACUGCACUGUACUUGAGUUUUUCCACUAACUUGAUUAAACUAUCGGACUUCUUGUCUACUUCCUGUGUCUUGGGCAAGACUACUUCGCAGCCGGAACUGAUACCACCUCUACAUUUCUAGAAUGGGCAAUGACAGAACUCCUACGACAUCCUAGAGUCCUGAAAAAAGUGCAGAUUGAGGUAAGGGAGGUUCUUAAAGGAAAGGACGACAUAGCAGAUGAUUUCGAGAAAUGCUCUAUUUGAAAGCUGUGAUGAAAUAAACUUUUCGUUUACAUCCUCCAAUUUCCAGCUAUCCCGAGACAAGCAAGGGAAGAUGUUAAAGUAAUGGGCUAUGAUAUUGCUGCUGGGACAAUGGUCAUCAUCAAUGCUUGGGCAAUUGGAAGAGACCCGGCUUUGUGGGAUGAACCAGAGGAGUUUAGGCCAGAGAGGUUUUUGAAUUCUCCUAUUGAUUUCAAAGGGCUUGACUUCCAAUUGAUUCCCUUUGGUGCGGGAAGGAGGGGUUGCCCGGGAAUCACAUUCGCAAUGGCUGUUAAUGAACUGGUGUUGGCAAAUCUAUUGCACAAGUUUGAUUGGGCAUUGCCUGGUGGAGCCAAGGCUGAGGAUUUGGACAUAACUGAAUGCCCUGGUGUUGCAAUCCACAGAAGAAUUCCUCUUCUUGCUGUUGCAACUCGUGGGCAGUCUGUAACAUUGCUAUAAGGUGGGAUUCUAAAAAAUAUCAGUUUUAAAUUUCAAGUAAGUGUACUGUUGCCAAGUUGAACUAGUACUAAAUUCCUGUACAACUCUCCGGCUGUCACUUUUACUUAUCGUAGUAUGAUCUUGAGUUAGUGCAGAAGCUGUAAUUCGGCUAAAUAGAUCAAACAGAUUACCAGGUAACAAACAACCACAAACAUGAAGGAAUUAGUUUAUUUUGUUUGGCAUCACCCCAAUUUCUCCGGUAAACUAGAUAGGGAUCAGUAAAUUAUUGAAAUUGGACGAUGCAUCAUUCAGGAUCAUACAAAUAUAAGACAACUAACCACAGACGCGAAGAAAUUAAUUUAUUUUGGUAAACUAGCAAGAGAUCAGUGCAUUAUUGAAGUUGGAAGAUUAUAUAAUUCAUGGGAUUUUAAUAAACACAUGAGACGGCCCUGGUGAUACCCGCGCAGAACCAUUCCAUUACCUCAAGUAGUCUUAUCAUGGUCUUAUGCCUACAUAAAUACUAUUCAAAAUACCUUUCACAAAUAGAAACAUUGCACGACACAAUUAAGGAAAAAAUAACGAGUGGUGGUUAAUUUUAAUUUUCACUGAUGUUUUUAGCUGCCUUAAUCGUAAGGAGAGAGGACCGGUGCCUAUGUAUUGCAAUGCAAAUCUCAAGAUUCUCAAGAACAUCUAAAUUGUUGUUUUACCUUUGCAUCUGAUACAAUCCUAAAUCUAAAUCUUUUAACGGUCCUUCACAAUGAGAUGGACAAGAAGAAACGGUACUAUUGAUAAUUUUCCAUCAACAUAAGACAAAAGGGCACCAUUAGCCAACUUUUGGGAGUAGACAAAUUGCAAAAGACCAUUUCCACAUUUAAUCAUUAUACAUGUUAGUAUAUAAUCUCCAUUGUUUCUUGUAUGUGCAUAUCAAAGUACAUUUCUUCAACACAUUUGGCAUUACUGCUUGUCGUCAAUUGCUAUUUUCUUUAUGUUGAUGGCAUUGUUUUUUUUUUUGGAAAUGAUCUGUGUCUAUAUUUAAAACUUGAAUCUCAACGCAGUCGCUACGUCUCAUAUUAUUCUCGUCUCUUGGGAUUAGAAUCACUUUCUGAUGUGUUUUCAUCAUCAAUCAAAAAAAAUAGCAUAUGAGUUUGCUACACACCUCCUCAAAAAAUAAUAUUCAAUAAAGUAUUAUUGUCUUUUUAUAUGACAAACCUAUGAUUUUGAGGAGGUGUGUAGGCAAACUCAUAUGCUUAAAAGGAGAGAAGACCCAUAGAGAAAAGAAAAUCUCUAGUUUAUGUAAGGGGUCCAAAAAAAUUCGAAAAUCAGUGAACCGAACCGAACGGAACCGUGCAUUGUUAGAUUGGUUCUAUGGUUUAAUGGUUAGUUCUGGUUUUUAACAAAUUAAGAACCGUAAAUUUGGUUCAUUUACCCGGUCUUUUUAUUUUCAACCGUGGGUUUCAACCGAACCGAACCGCAAUAUACUUAAUAUAUCUAUAUAUACGCGUCGACAAUUUAUCUAGAACAUUAAUUCCACCUACACGUGGAUUACUUUACCUUUCCUCUCAACAAAAAUAAUUUUCACUCCCAUGGAUAUUAAGAUUACUCUAUCCAUUUUUCAUUAAAACAUCACAUUUUUUCUCUAUUCAAUAUUUUAUCAUUAAUUUUUGCUUUUGUUCAUCCAUUAUGAAUUCUUUUUCAGUUUUUUCAUUUUAGUCCUUUUUUGUUGUUAUCCAUUAUGAAUUCUAAACUUUUAUGAGUUUAUUAAUUGCAAUAUUCGAUUGGUUUGAUGUAUAUUAUUUAAGGCGGUCACUCUAUGAACUAAUUUUCUACUCAUUUUGGUUAAUGACUUUGGAAGCCUUAAUGCAGUUGUGGGUUUAUGUUAACUCCCUCCUUUUUGUUUGUAAUUUUCUCUUAUUCCCUCACCCUCUUUGACAUGUUCAUUGGCUUGAACCGAACCGACCCUAUAAGGCGGAUCGGUUUUGGUUGGUUCUCUACUUUAAUGGUUAGGUUCCGGUUCUCAUUUUUUCAGAACCGUUAAACAUGGAUUGGUUACUGGAUUCUUAUGGAACCGAACCAAUCCGGACCAUGGACACCCCUAGUGUUAUGCGGUUUCUUAGGGUAACAACCAUCUCACUUUUUGCUGAAACCCUUAACUUUCUCUUCUCUCUCCAUUUUCUUCAUCUUCUUCCUUAUCAAGUGGCUCUUCAUGGUCCAAGUAGAAGCAAAAACCUACCACCUUCACCACCAAAGCUUCCAAUUAUAGGAAACUUUCACCAACUGGGCUUGUUUGCACCCGCCGUUCCAACCUUGGCACAAAAACAUGGGCCAAUCAUGCAGCA